rnacentral:rRNA from 1 species
UACGUAGGUGACCAGCGUUGUCCGGAUUUACUGGGCGUAAAGAGCGCGCAGGCGGUCGUUCAAGUCGAGUGUGAAAGCCCCCGGCUCAACUGGGGAGGGUCAUUCGAUACUGAUCGACUGGAAGGCAGGAGAGGGAAGCGGAAUUCCCGGUGUAGUGGUGAAAUGCGUAGAUAUCUGGAGGAACACCGGUGGCGAAGGCGGCAUUCUGGACCAUAACUGACACUGAGAGACGAAAGCCAGGGGAGCAAACGGG